rnacentral:rRNA from 1 species
UACGGAGGGUGCAAGCGUUAGUCGGAAUUACUGGGCGUAAAGGGUGCGUAGGCGGGGAAAUAAGUCAUAUGUAAAAGCCUGGAGCUCAACUCCAGAUCUGCAUCUGAAACUGUUUUUCUUGAGGAUGAGCGGAGAAAACGGAAUUCCACAUGUAGCGGUGAAAUGCGUAGAUAUGUGGAAGAACACCUGUGGCGAAAGCGGUUUUCUAGCUUAUACCUGACGCUGAGGCACGAAAGCAAGGGGAGCAAACAGG